rnacentral:vault_RNA from 1 species
GGGUGAGCUUAGCAUAGUGGAUACUUCGUAUAUGGUUUACAAUUUGUCUGUCACACAAAUCUUCCCGGUUCGAUCCCGGGUUGAAUCCGCUCGCGCCGUCUAACCCAGUU